GCUGGGGAGCACAUCGAACACACAGCCAGGCAGCGAGAAAGAGACGGUCUUGUGACUGUGAGAGGAGUUUUACCUUUCCCUCUGGAUGCAAAGUCCUCUGGGGUACUGCAAAAUAGAAGGUGUCUCUGCUGCAUUCUGUAUCUUCAGUUCCACAUCGGAUUCCUUUCCAUCAGACUGCCCCUCUGCUGCCAUCUGUCCACUCAGCAACAAAAUGAAAUGGUGUGAAGAUUCAGCCUCUACUGCCUUACCACCAGCAUCUGCCUCCGAUGGUAUGGACCGACACUGUAAAACAGGAGAUAUUUCUUUUAGAGCAGCCCUCAUUAAAAAUGUAAUUUUAAAUCUUUUUUUAUUCCAGACUAAAAUUUAAUCAAAAAUCCCAUUCUGUGCCCCUGUUUCAGCCUGGGCAGUGCUGAUGUCACUCUGCUGUGUGGCUGUUGUGAGCCAUGGAUGCACACCCAUGGCCAGACUGGGCUGCUUGGUAUAGCAGUGCCACUGGCAUGGUAGUGUGGGGCAGGAGUGGCUGCAGGCGGCCCAUAGCCAUGGAUUGAACAUGAUUGAGCUAGAAAGAUCAUAAAUUAAAAAAAAGAUAAAAAAAAAAUGCGCAUUGACACAAAAAAACAACAAAUGACAGAAAAUUUGCUUGCUGUGUUUGGUAAUAUUCUCUCAUUGUGAGCAAUGAAAUACAAAGGAAUGUGACCAUACAGAUAGCUAGCAUACUUAUGUUUCAUGCCUGAACUCAGAAACUUAAUCUUAGACUCUCACCAUAGAGUGACAUCUGAGACAUGCUUUGAGAGCUAUUUGAGUUUUAAUUUCCUGUACUAGAAAAUUAGAUCUGCUACCUGUACAUGGCUAUAUGCUUUAACAUAUCUACCAACUUGUUCUUUACAGCUUGAAGAUAUUCUUAAUUUCUCUCAAUGUGAAAGUUAUUGUCCUUUAGGAAGGAAUAUGUCUCCUAUAUGACUUACAGCAGCAUCUAAAUUCUGGUGCCUUUGUAAGAAUAAUGUUUCACAUUUCUCUCUUUUAUUAUUAUAUCAUAUUGGUACAAAGUCAAAAGGAAUUCUCUUGCUUAGAAUCUAAAGUUUGAGAAUGCUUUUCCAUUUUCUUACAAAGCAAAGAAGUAUGUGUGCACAUUACAAAGUACUUCUAAAAUUCUAAGUUCAACUGUAAGCAAACUACGUAUAAAAAAAGUGAAAGUAGUCUUUAUUCUCUAGAGUUUUGAGUUUGAUUUUUUCUGUUCUUUCUUAUAUCCUUCUACAUGGUCUCUGGCUGCAAAACUCACAUCACUGAAUGCUAAGUAAAUGGUCAAUAUUAACAAAAACAAAACAUUUCCAUACAGGAUUAUGUCAGUUUACAAGGCCCUGGGACAGUUCUCUCUUUUAGGAGCUAUCAAAAGUGAGUGCGUUUGUGUUCGUCAUAGAAGGUAGACUUUGGUGGUUGUUCAAAACUGCAUUUAUUUCAACAGAUUCUUGCAGCUCCAAAUUCAAGUGGUUGAAUGCAGCUCUGGAACUCAUUACUAUGUACACUGCUUUAUGGCAGUGAUGUUCUGUGGGACUGCUAACCUGCACAGUUUUCAGCGUUAAGUCAGAAAAAAGAAUCUUCCCAUAAAAAAGUGGUGUACAACCUUACUUAGGUGGAAAAGAAGAAUCAAAUUCUGUGCAGGAAGAAAAGACUGCAGUAAAGCUUAUCUCUGUUAGCAGUUAUCACUGUAGACCUUUCUGAAAUAUGCUGGUGAAUACAUAGAAAUUAAAUUAUGCAUGAAACAAUUGGAAAUGAUCUUGAAGGUGUGACAACCCACAGAUAACCAUAAUUCCUUAUAGUUGCAAAGAAUACACCUAAUAAGAUCUUUUUAUGGUUUCUUAAUCUCAUCAUUUGCUCAGAAAACCAGGAAGUCAAAUUGAUGCACUUUCUGUCCAAAUUUUUAAGUUUGCUUAUAUUCACAGUAGUGCAAGCAAAUUAAAUGAAAUGCAUAGAAAUGUCUGCAACCUAAAUUUAAUGAUUGCCAUACUAAAUAUUCAGUUGUGGUUGUCAGGCCGUGAUUGCAUUACUUCUCUCUUGUGGCACACUUCAGUCCACUCUUUUUUACGUUAGUCAUCUUUAAUUCUUGAAAUAUCCUUAUUUUAUAAAUGACAUAUGGCCCUUUUUGAAUGAUAAAGUCAUUAGUUCACACUUAAGACUAAAUUUAUAGUUUAUGUUAAAUUGUAAGCAAAUUAAAAAUGGACUAUUGCAGGAAGCAAAAAUGCAAAUCUCUUUCCUCUGGCAAGACAAAAUUAAAAAGAAAAGAGAGAUCAAAUAUAGUAAUCAGUUAGUCAUUAAAAUGUUGCCCCAAAUGCUCCUCAACAGUGUUAAUAAUCAUGGAGAAGUUAUUAUCCUUCCCUGAUUUUUCAAGAAAUGCACAUAGUUUUAAUUAAAUAUUUAAUUUUCUGAAUUCUUAUCAAGAGAAGAAACAGCUUACAAUGAUGAUUAGAUUUAAUUCCAUUGAUUUCUGCACCAAACAAUAAUAACCCUUUAGAACAUUUCUGCUUUUAUUCAUGCCAUUGUACAAUGGUUUAAAAGCAAACAACAACAAAUGAUUAAAAAGAACCUCUGGACCAAUUUAUUAUGAGCAGGAGAGCAUGCUUUUUUCCAUCUUCUUCAAAGAAAUUUUCCACAUGUUAAUUUUGUUUAAAGCUUUUGUAUUUCAAAGCUCCUGAGAAGUCAGAGAAACUUCUCCAUUCCUCUCAUUACAGUUUUCUUAAACAUUUGCAUCCUCUGGAGUACUUAGAAUUUAUUCUACGGGGAUAAGGAAAAAUUUUGUGACAUUUAAAUGUUCAAAUUUGAGAAGGAGAGAAUUUUGAUUCUUUUCAUAUGUGUAUUUUUUUCUUCAAGACCUUUUUAAGGUCUUCAGACUUCAAAAAAGUUUUUGGAUUUCUGGGUAGAUUCACCCCGGUAAGACUACAGUAAAGCACUUAAGAGAAAACUGGAGAAAACAGUAUUUGCUAGAAUGAUGUUUGAACACCAUGCCCGAAACAAAUCUUUGUUAAUAUUUGGUAGUCCAUGAAUUAAAGCCAACACAUAAAAUGAGUAUUGCAUUUAUUUGCUAGUUUGCAUUAAGUCUACAGGAAUAAAAUAAAUCACAUUUCUAUCACUUACCUAUUCUUCCUUUAUUACUGACAGCUGUUUUAUUCUGAUUUGGUUCAUUUAAAUACAUAAGCUACUUACUCACUCCAUUGCCACGGUGCUCUUUCCAAAACCUGGUGAAACCGUUUAGCAAAUCUGAUAUGUAUGCUAAUGAAAUAUUAGGCAAAAAAAGGAAGCAGAAAUACAUUACUCAGAACAUGACAGCUACUGUUAUAAAAAUAAGGCUAGCAUACAAAUAUACAUUCCAAAAUGUGUAAAUUUUAGGAAGUUUAGUUAUAUCUUCUCAGAAAUGAUAAUCUUCUUUUGGAAGAAGAUGUAAGGCAUUUUGCCUCAUGGGUAUGAGCUCAAACCUUUCUGUAGAGCAUGGGAAAUCUGGACUUAAAAUCAUUCCUUUACAGAAGGGAACUGCAAUGUUGAUACCUUUCUAGCUGUCCUAUUGUGCCAGAAUGUUUCGGUGACCUUGCUUAUUGACUAGGGGUAAAAUAAAUUGGCAUUGUUUUGUUACUUUGUAUUAUUAUUGGUUAACAAUACAUAGUAUUAAAUUGCAGUAAUAUAGAUUUGGUAUUGUGGUAAAACUUGUCAAGAUAAGUUUUACCAACAGUUCUGAAUAUGAAUUAUAUUUUAAUAUACUAAUUGAAUAUGGCAAAGAACUGUUUUUGUGGUUUAAUUCAGCAGGCAGUUAAUCUAUAUAUCACUUUUUGUUCACUUUCCUGCAUUUCACUGAAUAGGAGAGAAAAUUGGAGAAAAAAAAGGGUAGAACUUGGGGAUUGAGAUAAAAGCUAUUGAAUAAAUCAGAAAAGGAAGAGAGAAGUAGCAGUAACAAUAAUAAUAUGUUUGUGUUCUGUUCCCUCCCAGCUCCUUAUGCUCCCCAAGCCCCAUCUCUAGCAGAUCAGUACGAGAAGCUGAGAAACUGAAAUGUCCUUGGCUCUGUGCAGCACUGCUCAGCACAGCUAAAUCAUUGAUGUGUUAUCAGCACUGUUUCUCUCCUAAAGCCAAAACAUAGCAUCAUGCCAGACACUGAUGGAAAUAAACUCUGUCCCAGCUUAAAUCAGGACAACUGUGUAGCUGCUAAAUAGAGAAACAAGAUAGAAUUUAAAUGUCUUAUUUUAUGAUGGCUUUCUUCUAUGUGAUGUUUCCAUAUAACAACUCACACUUCUGCUAGCAAGAUUAGUAGAGCAACAUUAUUGAAUGAACAUCAAUUUGAAAGAAAUCUAUGAAUAUUAUCUUCUUAUUUUUUACUAAGUAAAAUCCAACUUACAGAUUUUAUGUUAAAAAUCCUAAAAUCUGACUUUUAGGAUAGGACAUUCUAAAUGUGCUGUGCUGUCUGAACUCUGUAGACUGCUGUGCUGUCUGACUACCUGUCUCUGAGAAUGGAGCGUCAUGGGGAAAGUGUUCAAAACCUGGUUACACCACAGCCCAAGAUUCCUCAGAAUAAGUGAAGGACAUGCACAGAAACACAAAUGCAAUGAGGGUUCAAGUAGAUUUUCAUUACUUGUAAGCCUACAUCUUGUAGCAAGUAUAUUGUAAAUUUCUCUGAUGAUUCAGUAACCUUUAAAAGAAGAACCUUAAACUUUCAGUCAGCAAAAUGUCUUUCUGAUUAAUUAUAUUUGAAGGAAGCUUUCAAGAUCUUAAAAAUUUCCCUAUGGUAUCUAAGUCUGAAAAAAUGACUGAGUAAAAGACACAGAAGCACAAAAUCUUACUUGCAUAAUGUUUUGCUGUCAAAUGUAUAUUAUCAAGAACAAACCUUUAGUCAUUUACAAAGGAAGGAAAUGCUUCACAGAUAGGCUAAUGGCAAGCAAGAUGUCUACAGUGUAAGUCAGAAUAUGAAAUUGCAGCACUAAUAACUAGUAUUACUUACUAGCACGAGAGCACGGUAACUUUCCUUAAUAAACAACAGAAUGAAUUAUAUCUCCUCUCUAUUUCUCCAAUCCCUCUGGCAAGCAAGUAUGUAUGAAUACCAAAACCUGCUUUCUUGAAAGUAGUUCAUGUUCAAAAUUCAUUCUCUGUAGUAGAAUCUGACAGAUGAAUGUGUAUUUGAUAGACUGUAUUUAUUACAAGAUGUAUAUAUUUUUUUCCAGUCAGCAGUUUUACCAGUGCUGGUGCAGCUACCAGGAAGGGCUAUGCGCUUAAGAAGAUUGAUUAGUUGUGUGACAGAGCAGCAUAUCUACUGCAUUCCUUCCUAUCGGCAUCAGUGAGAUGAGUGAGAAAAGCACUUCAAUUCCAGAAGAAUCUUGAUUUUAAUUGAGAAUGGUAAAUUUGUUGCAGAGUUUGUUUCUAUUUUUUCACCCGAGUGCUAUAUUUCCUCUCUGCUGCACAAGAAAACAUACAAGAUGCCUUGAUGUCUCCCCGGCUCUGCAAGCAGUUGCUAAGCAAGAAAAGGCAGUAUAAUCGGAUAGGUCAUGAUGUAUGGCUGUACUGAAAAUUCAGCAGAUAGAUUCAGAUAGAAAAUGAGACUGGAAAGAACAAUGUUAGCUAAGAAUCACUGUGGAAAACAGCAAAAAUUCUCUCGGUUUUGCAGCAGAGAAGCACGUGGUUCCCUCUGCAGUCUAUAGCGUAAGGCUUCAGCUUUGGACACUCUCAUUGUGUUUGAUUUUAUUGGAUUUAGCAAACUAACGUUCUUUGUCAGAUCAUUCUGGUUGCUCUGGUUUUUUUCUCUGUUAGGCCCAUCUACUAUCUCCCUAC